GGGCGUAGAGGGCUCGCAGGCGGUUUCUUAAGUCUGAUGUGAAAGCCCCCGGCUCAACCGGGGAGGGUCAUUGGAAACUGGGGAACUUGAGUGCAGAAGAGGAGAGUGGAAUUCCACGUGUAGCGGUGAAAUGCGUAGAGAUGUGGAGGAACACCAGUGGCGAAGGCGACUCUCUGGUCUGUAACUGACGCUGAGGAGCGAAAGCGUGGGGAGCGAACAGGAUUAGAUACCCUGGUAGUCCACGCCGUAAACGAUGAGUGCUAAGUGUUAGGGGGUUUCCGCCCCUUAGUGCUGCAGCUAACGCAUUAAGCACUCCGCCUGGGGAGUACGGUCGCAAGACUGAAACUCAAAGGAAUUGACGGGGGCCCGCACAAGCGGUGGAGCAUGUGGUUUAAUUCGAAGCAACGCGAAGAACCUUACCAGGUCUUGACAUCCUCUGACAAUCCUAGAGAUAGGACGUCCCCUUCGGGGGCAGAGUGACAGGUGGUGCAUGGUUGUCGUCAGCUCGUGUCGUGAGAUGUUGGGUUAAGUCCCGCAACGAGCGCAACCCUUGAUCUUAGUUGCCAGCAUUCAGUUGGGCACUCUAAGGUGACUGCCGGUGACAAACCGGAGGAAGGUGGGGAUGACGUCAAAUCAUCAUGCCCCUUAUGACCUGGGCUACACACGUGCUACAAUGGACAGAACAAAGGGCAGCGAAACCGCGAGGUUAAGCCAAUCCCACAAAUCUGUUCUCAGUUCGGAUCGCAGUCUGCAACUCGACUGCGUGAAGCUGGAAUCGCUAGUAAUCGCGGAUCAGCAUGCCGCG
rnacentral:rRNA from 1 species